CCUUGGGGUGUUCCUAUGGCAGUGGAAGGCAUCCGGCUCCCGAGCGGGAAGAGGUUUGUCCCGAUCCAGGCAAAAAAGUUGGCGGCAGGAUCUGGAAGAGCCGGGAAGCAAAAAAAAAACAACCUUGAUUGAGGAUUGAGCCAAGCUCAAUGGGAGAGAAGAGUCCUCAGUUCCCUGUUCCUGCUGUUCACAAUUGCUCUGGGGGCUUUUUUCAGGAAGUUCGUUUGGGAAAACAUCCCAAUUUCCUAGGUGGAAGAAACCCUAAAUUCCCUCCCAGUGAAGAGAGAGUGAGUUUUAGAGAGGAAACAAUGGCUUCAAACAGCAUAUUUGAGUCACUUCCUUCUUACCAGCACUUCUUGAGAGUGACCAAGAGGUUGCAGCGUUCUUGUCGUGUUCUCAGCACCCCCUGUGGAGCUGAUGCUUUAGUCAUGGC